GACGGAGGGGGCUAGCGUUGUUCGGAAUGACUGGGCGUAAAGGGCGCGUAGGCGGUUUUUUAAGUGAGGCGUGAAAGCCCUGGGCUUAACCCAGGAGGUGCGUUUCAGACUGGAAGACUUGAGUACGAGAGAGGAAAGUGGAAUUCCUAGUGUAGAGGUGAAAUUCGUAGAUAUUAGGAAGAACACCAGAGGCGAAGGCGGCUUUCUGGCUCGUAACUGACGCUGGGGGCGCGAAAGCGUGGGGAGCAAACAGG
rnacentral:rRNA from 1 species